AGAGUUUGAUCAUGGCUCAGAUUGAACGCUGGCGGCAGGCUUAACACAUGCAAGUCGAGCGGAAACGAUGAUAGCUUGCUAUCAGGCGUCGAGCGGCGGACGGGUGAGUAAUACUUAGGAAUCUACCUAGUAGUGGGGGAUAGCUCGGGGAAACUCGAAUUAAUACCGCAUACGACCUACGGGAGAAAGGGGGCAGUUUACUGCUCUCGCUAUUAGAUGAGCCUAAGUCGGAUUAGCUAGAUGGUGGGGUAAAGGCCUACCAUGGCGACGAUCUGUAGCUGGUCUGAGAGGAUGAUCAGCCACACCGGGACUGAGACACGGCCCGGACUCCUACGGGAGGCAGCAGUGGGGAAUAUUGGACAAUGGGGGCAACCCUGAUCCAGCCAUGCCGCGUGUGUGAAGAAGGCCUUUUGGUUGUAAGGCACUUUAAGCAGUGAAGAAGACUCCGUGGUUAAUACCCACGGACGAUGACAUUAGCUGCAGAAUAAGCACCGGCUAACUCUGUGCCAGCAGCCGCGGUAAUACAGAGGGUGCAAGCGUUAAUCGGAAUUACUGGGCGUAAAGCGAGCGUAGGUGACUUGAUAAGUCAGAUGUGAAAUCCCCGGGCUUAACCUGGGAACUGCAUCUGAUACUGUUAGGCUAGAAUAGGUGAGAGGAAGGUAGAAUUCCAGGUGUAGCGGUGAAAUGCGUAGAGAUCUGGAGGAAUACCGAUGGCGAAGGCAGCCUUCUGGCAUCAUAUUGACACUGAGGUUCGAAAGCGUGGGUAGC
rnacentral:rRNA from 1 species